UCAAAAACAUGUCUUUUUGAUAAUAAUUUAAAGUCUAGUCUGCCCACUGAUAUAAUUAUUAAAGGGCUGCAGUAUAUUGACUGUACAAAGGUAGCAUAAUCAUUAGUCUUUUAAUUGAAGACUUGUAUGAAAGAUUUGAUGAAAUAUAAACUGUCUCUAAUUUAUUAAUAAAAAUUAAUUUUUUAAUUAAAAAGUUAAAAUAAUAUUAAAAGACGAGAAGACCCUAUAAAGUUUUAUAAUUUAUUUAUUUAUUAUUAAAUAAAUAAUUAAAUAUAAUAAUUAAUAUAAAUUAUUUUAUUGGGGUGAUAAAAAAAUUUAACUAACUUUUUUUAAAAAAUAAACAUAAAUAAAUGAAAUAAUGAUCCAUUAUUAAUGAUUAAAAGAAAAAAUUACUUUAGGGAUAACAGCGUAAUAUUUUUUUUUAGUACAAAUAAAAAAAAAGUUUGCGACCUCGAUGUUGGAUUAAGAUAAAAUUUAAAUGCAAAAGUUUAAAAUUUUGAUCUGUUCGAUCAUUAAAAUCUUACAUGAUCUGAGCU
rnacentral:rRNA from 1 species